AUCUAGCUGACGAGUUCCAGAUAGAACGAAACGCGCAUCCUUGAC
rnacentral:hammerhead_ribozyme from 1 species